rnacentral:rRNA from 1 species
GAUGAACGCUGGCGGCGUGCCUAAUACAUGCAAGUCGAGCGAACAGACGAGGAGCUUGCCCCUCUGACGUUAGCGGCGGACGGGUGAGUAACAAGUGGAUAACCUACCUAUAAGACUGGGAUAACUUCGGGAAACAUGAGCUAAAACCGGAUAAUAUAUUGAACCGCAUGGUUCAAUAGUGAAAGACGGUUUUGCUGUCACUUAUAGAUGGAUCCGCGCCGCAUUAGCUAGUUGGUAAGGUAACGGCUUACCAAGGCGACGAUGCGUAGCCGACCUGAGAGGGUGAUCGGCCACACUGGAGCUGGAACACGGUCCAGACUCCUACGGGAGGCAGCAGUAGGGAAUCUUCCGCAAUAGGCGGAAGCCUGGCGGAGCAACGCCGCGUGAGUGAUGAAGGUCUUCGGAUCGUAAAACUCUGUUAUUAGGGAAGAACAAAUGUGUAAGUAACUAUGCACGUCUUGACGGUACCUAAUCAGAAAGCCACGGCUAACUACGUG